AUAUCGAUUGAAUACACACAAAUUAACCAAACUAAUAUGGCUUAUAAAAAAACCUCCCUUAUUUGGAUUAUCCUCAUUCUUUGUAUAUUUUCAUCGUGUGCCAAGGCAACAAGUAUGAAGCUAGUUGGUGCUUCUAACCUUCAUGCAAGUUCGUAUGGAAUGAUUAAGAAUAGAAGGUUACUUCUGAGUGGUCCCCAAGGACCCCAACGCCCAUCAUGCCCAGAUGAUAAACCUCAUUGCGGCAAUUACUAGAAAAAAUAUGGAUGCAACUAAUUAAUAUGGAUCUGCUUUUUAAAACAAAUAUAGAUUUUUGUUCUUAAUAUGUUUAAAUAUCUAAUUAGUCAUGUAAAACAAAAAAAAAAAGUUAUUCUAGUCUUUACAUAAUAAAAACAAUUCAUUUUAGUCUUUGUACUAUGCAAGAAAUUUAAUUUUAGUUUUAUAAAAAUAUAUGUCAGCUUAGACCAUGUAUGAGUUAUAAGAAAUAGUGGAGUUGGUUCUUAUUUUUUUAUUAA